rnacentral:tRNA from 1 species
GCCUAGUUAGCUUAGUUGGUAGUGCGUCUGCCUUGUAAGCGCAGAAGCGCUAGGCCGCGGGUUCGAUUCCCGCCCGGGGCG